UGACCUCGGAUCAGACGUGAUUACCCGCUGAAUUUAAGCAUAUUAUUAAGCGGAGGAAAAGAAACUAACAAGGAUUCCCCUAGUAACGGCGAGUGAACGGGGAAAGAGCCCAACACCGAAUCCCUUGCGCAAGUCAACGGGAAAUGUGGUGUUAGGUAGCCCUUC
rnacentral:ncRNA from 1 species